rnacentral:rRNA from 1 species
GCAAGUCGAGCGCACCUUCGGGUGAGCGGCGGACGGGUGAGUAACGCGUGGGAACAUACCCUUCACUGCGGAAUAGCCUCUGGAAACGGAGAGUAAUACCGCAUACGCCCUUUGGGGGAAAGAUUUAUCGGAGAAGGAUUAGCCCGCGUUAGAUUAGGUAGUUGGUGGGGUAAUGGCCUACCAAGCCUACGAUCUAUAGCUGGUUUGAGAGGAUGAUC